rnacentral:RNase_P_RNA from 1 species
CCGGACAGCCGCGCGGCUGCGCCCAACGGCGCUUCCGUGAGGAAAGUCCGGGCUCCACAGGGCAAGGAUAACGGGUAACACCCGCCGAAGGCGACUUCAGGAAAAGUGCAACAGAGAGAUACCGCCCGCGCAAGCGGGUAAGGGUGGAAACGUGAGGUAAGAGCUCACGCACCGGCUGGGAACAGUCCGGCGCUGUAAACUCUAUCCGGAGCAACACCGUGGAGGAGACAGAGGUCUGCCCGACCGUCUCCGAGGAGGUGGCAUGGAGCGGGCCGGCAACGGUUCCGCCAAGAUAGAUGGCUGUCCACGACAGAACCCGGCUUACAGGCCCGAU